rnacentral:rRNA from 1 species
UGGGGAAUAUUGGACAAUGGAGGAAACUCUGAUCCAGCAAUUCUGUGUGUGUGAAGAAGGUUUUAGGACUGUAAAACACUUUUAGUAGGGAAGAAAAAAAUGACGGUACCUACAGAAGAAGCAACGGCUAAAUACGUGCCAGCAGCCGCGGUAAUACGUAUGUUGCGAGCGUUAUCCGGAAUUAUUGGGCUUAAAGGGCAUCUAGGCGGUAAGACAAGUUGAAGGUGAAAACCUGUGGCUCAACCAUAGGCUUGCCUACAAAACUGUUGAACUAGAGUACUGGAAAGGUGGGUGGAACUACACGAGUAGUGGUGAAAUUCGUAGAUAUGUGUAGGAAUGCCGAUGAUGAAGAUAACUCACUGGACAGAAACUGACGCUGAAGUGCGAAAGCUAGGGGAGCAAACAGG